UGCUCUAUGCUUGCAGCCAUUCAGGAAUGGUUGAUGAAGGGAUUAAAUACUUCAAUGAAAUGAGCAAAAACUUCGGUGUUGUUCCUGGAGAAGAACACUAUGCUUGCAUGGUUGAUCUUUUGGGUCGUGCUGGUCGCUUGGAUGAGGCCAUGAAGCUCAUUGAUGGUAUGCCUAUGGAAACAGGUCCUAUAGUGUGGGUAGCGUUGCUAAGUGGUUGCAGGAAACAUGCUAAUGUGGAACUUGGGGAGUAUGCUGCAA
rnacentral:misc_RNA from 1 species